UGCACAAUUACUGCUAUUAUGAAGGAAAUAAAGGAGCAUUUUGCGAGAACCCUCACCCACCUGCUGUUGCUAGGCAGCAAGCUGCUUAUCUCUUGGUUUCCACAGCUACUCAACUGACACAACAUGGAGGACAGCAUUUGCAGAAGGGAACUGCAUAGUAAUUGGGUACAAAGAGAUUGUUUUCAACUGUCAGACGGCCUAAAGAGAGGCCCUGAUUUGCUUUUGAUGUUAAUCAGCAGCUGGGUCUGAGUGUUCAAACAGCGGCAACCAGAUGUCCUGCUGUUUUCUCAGAGAAGGACAGUGCCAAUGCUCUUUACAUGGUUCAUUGGGAAUCUCUGCUCUCAAUUUAUGGCUGCUUCCGUUUAUACAUCCUGUUUCCCUCGCUUGCAACUCCAGGACUGAAAGGGACAGUCCAAGUGUGAAACAUCAAGGGGUUUGCAGUGGGAAGACCGGGGACAGAUUGGGGAGAAUUGAGCCCUGAUUGACAACAAGCCGGCAUGUAAAGAAUUAUGGAGACCAAGCGGCUGCAACACUGAAACAUCAGCUAUUUGAGGUUUCAUGCCAGCUGCCCGUUAGUGAAUUGGAUUUCCAUGGAGUUAACCACUGCCUAUUUUUGCCAUGCCUCAAGUUCCAUCGGUGCAGUUCAUGGUAACCUGCUCCAGCUAGAGAAGUAAAGCCAAGACCCUGAUCCAUCUGACUGGCAUCACCUCGGAAAAAAAAUCACAUCCACUUCACAAUGGUCUCGAAUGAAAUCUGGAGCUGAGCGGUCCUGGAGGAACCCAAAUGGAAUGUCAGUGAAGGGGUUGCUGCUGAACAAAUGGCAUACAAUCGAUGACCCUUUGGUCACUCCUCUGAUGGUCAACAGCAGAUCAAUGGGGCAGAGACCGGUGGAUUUGUAUAUUCCUGUGUUUUGUAUAUUCCUCAGCAAUGUUCACAUUUCGAGUAGUUCAUCAUAUUGUAUCUAAAUGGGAACAGCUUGGUUAUUGGUGCUGCUGAUUCUGGAGCAUGGGUUUUCAGGGUUUUCAUAAUAUUGUCAGAAUCUGUACUCUUUGCUGCAUCUAAUGCCUUCGGCCUUUUCCUGACAUCACAUAGAAUGAAUCAAAAUAGCUGAAGACUGGCACCUUUAAUGUUAGAGGAGGCUGAGUUGGACUAUCCACUCACUACUUCCUUUUUAAAGGUGGUUGCAAAUAUGUCAUGUUGUUUGCACUGUGGGGUUGGGGGGCCCCCAUUGUUGAUGACAGGGAUUCUUCAGAGCCUCCUCCUCCCAGUAGUUAUUUUACUUAUUAUUCACCACCAUUUAUCCCUGGAUGGGGUAGGACUCCAGACCCAGGAGAAAAAUCACAGGUCCCUUAUGUAUGCCCCCACCCCACCCCUACAUUUAACUCACGACAGUUUCUAUCGAAUACCUCCUUAAUGUGAUUUAGGUCCUAUAGAAUAGUAUAGUGCAGCACUCAUUCAUCAGGAGAUUCAGUCUUGCAUCAAUAACCUUGUGUAUUCCAGUUGAUCAGUUGUGUAUUUUGACUCACACCAAAAUGGAAUUAGAAGAAUUCAUCAAUAUCCUCAAUGAACAACCUUCAUCAAUAUCCCCAAUGAACAAUCUUCUAUUAAACUGGAAGCUACAACUCACGGGAAAAGCAUUAACUUACUGUGUUUAAAUUAGCACCAGACAGCAGGCGUAAGUUAGUAAAAUUUUUUUCUUCCCAAGAUAACUGAUAGACAAUUCUAUACAAAAGAAAACAUCACAGUAAAAACACCUUCUGCAAAUGUCACAGCAAAUACUUCCCAUUAUAUCUGCACAAAGCUGAAACAUUUUCACCAGACACUUACUACUCAAUUCACUGCAGGGCAGAUCUUAAUCCCUGAUUAAAUUUAACGAGUGACACAGUGUUGAUCACAGCAGAUUCCAUUACAUUUUUCAUCAUAUUGUAGCUGUGCAGCCAAAAGCCAUUUUCAGUUUCAAGGAAUUAGUUAUUUCUGAUUUCAAGUUCCUCAAGCUUCCAGUUAGUUGAGUACUUCCAUAGACUGGUGGGUUUGAAGUUCUCCUCACUCCUUUGAAGGCUCAGUCUCUCCGCCGUGCAGCCUUAUACUUUGCCCCCCACAAAAACCCGCUUCUAGCUCUCUAAUCCAGCUUGCAUUCUCUUCUUGCCCCCAGCUCCUUUCGUAGAGCCUCCUUUCUUUCUUGCCCGUGCACCCCCCAUCAUUUGCCAUCCCAUCUCCCAACAGCAACCCUGGCUCCGUACGCCCACUCACACACCUGCACUCAGUUGGAUGAACCGCUCCAGCCCACCCCAGACCAUGGCAUGGCUGAAGGAACUCAACAUUUCUCCACCCCUGCUGUCUGGGCUUGGAUACAUGCACCUCCCCCAGUCUGGAUUUGAAUGAAUGAGACCCAAGAAUAUUCGUCUCCCAGCUUUGGCUUCUGCACCAAUAGUGGAAUUUGAUGCUCUCUGGCUGGGUUUGGUGGUGAGGCACACUUAAUUGGGUGGAAUGUUGGUGGCUGGCACCCCGCACUUACCCGCCUAUACCUUGACUAAGUACAAGCCAGGAAAGAUCAUUCACGGUGCUCCCACCCUAACACUGCUGGUAGUGACACAACGGUAGUGAGGUAGUCUUGGGAAUCCUGACAAAUAGAUUGCCUUGAGAUUGCAGGCUUCCUCAUUCUGAAGAGCCAGGCAUCGGGAAUAAGGAAACCCCUCCCUGCUGGCCUCCUUCCUCGCUGUGACCCCACCUCAUCCUGCGACCCCCAUAGUACCUUUACUAACUCAUGGCCUGCAUCCUCCAGCUUUUGCAGGUCUUGGCUUGCAUGCAUUUCUGACAACAACCACUGUUCCUGCUGCCGCUGCUGAGCAGUACACAUUUUUUGGCCUCUGAUUAUUGUGGAUCAAGGAUCCCAGGAAGGUCCCAAAGCUGCCCAGCUAAGAGUUCAAAUGGCACUUGAAUAGUGGCCUUCCUGAAAAGAGGCAAUGUAGAUCUCUCACUAGCUCAACAGGCAGGGGGUAAAGCCAUUUCCGCCACCAUUAAAUACCUCCACAACAGGUCUCAAUUGGAACUGGUAUCAGCAAGUUAUGAUCUUUUUCUAUUUCAAUUUCAAUUUAUCUACCUUGUCAGAAACACUGGGCUUAAUUUAAUUCUCUCCUGUCAAUAAUUGGAAGACAGAGGGAAAUUCAACAGAUGUUCACUCUAGUGUCUUCCUGCCUGUACCUGCCCCCACUGCAGAUACUGUAGUGGCAUGUAUGGUGUUGAAUGACCUGCCUGCCAGCGAGUCUAAUCAAGAUCCUUAAGUAGGUAAUUAAUUUGGGGCGGCAUGGUGGCUCAGUGGUUAGCACUGCAGCCUCACAGCACCAGGGACCCAGGUUCAAUUCUAGCCUCAGGCAACUGUCUGUGCGGAGUUUGCACAUUCUCCCGGUCUCUGUGUGGGUUUCCUCUGGGUGCUCCGGUCUCCUUCCACAGUCCAAAGAUGUGCAGGCUAGGUGGAUUGGCCAUGCUAAAUUGCCCGUACUGUUCAGGGGUGU